AUGGUUGUCAAGAGAAGCACAAAAAGCAUCCCAUUAGAACGGCUUCAGUCUUUUCUCUCUCUGAUUUCCUCUCCAGGUUCUCCCAACAGGACGAUAAACUCAUCUGGAAGGCAGAGGGCCUGCCCAUUCAUAAACCUGUUGAUGUGGUCCCCAGAGUACCAGUUUAAGAUGGCAAGACCAACACUGUUGAUUCUGGGGCCAGAACUGGGACAAGUCCUUGAUUUGUCUACACUAGCUGUAUACACCAUCUACCUCCUGAGAGGAUUCAUUUUUCUUCCUAUGCUGGCCCAGGAAACCAGCACCAUCAAAACACCUGAAUGUUCUCCAGAUGCAGGUAUGAGACAGCGCAACCCUUCCAUCACCCAACACUGCAACUUGUGGAUUUAUUUGUAUGGAGCUCCAGCAUUGCCAGUGCCCCUCAUUGUCUGGAGUGCACACCUGCCUGACCUCAGUAGACCCUUCAGGAAGUAUUCUAAGGCUCACUGCUUGCUCCUUUCAGAAAGGGUGCAAGAGGAGAAAGAAGAAAUAGCCUGGCCAUCUUCCUGAAAUUUUCCCCAAAUGCUCAAUUCCCUGGGACCAGAGAGGAACCUCAGAUACAAACUUGACAAUGCCAAUGGAAAUAAUCAAUAUCAACCUAUAAAGGAAUAGAAAAGUUUUAUUUGAACUAAACUGAGGACUAUAGGCCAGGAGCCAGCCUCUCAGCCCUGAGGAACUGUUCCAAAGAAGCAUGAUUUUCAGCAUAUUCUUACAUCUUAUCGGUCAAAGAACAUCAGACAUGACAGGGGUACAUUCCUUCAAAGUUUCAAGAAGGACAAGUCAGCAUGUACCCAGUGAGUCCCUAAGGCCUUGGCACCGGAGGAGGAAGGCUUAUCAUUGAAGGAGCACUAGCAGUGACCUCCCAGGAAAAGAAGCAUUUAGCCUUUAUCUUUAAAACCAACAUUCUUUACUUCUGGCCGAUGCACCCUCUUCUUUACUGAUUAAAGCAGAUUACGAUGGAAGUUUGGUAAGCCACAAAGAGGCUGUUCUAGUUAGCAUGUUCAAGUUCAAGUUAAAUAUUGUCUAAGCCAGAAUGAUGUCCUCAUACCUCAGUAUGUGAAAUUUUCUUCCAUCAACAAGAAGCCUGAGGACAAAAUUUUAAAAGGGAAAUUCUGCAAAAAUUUGGGAUGGGGGAAAUGAAAGAGGAGAAUGGCUCUAUAUUAUAGGUCCUGGAAGAGGGGAGCUGGCCCCACACCCCAAAAUGGGUUUGUCUGGGCAAAUGACAAGAUAGGGAGGCUCCCCUAAUGUCCCCUCAUCUACCCAAGUGUGUUGGGGAACCCCCAGAGGCCAUGCAGAUGCCGACAACCGUAGCCACAUGUAACAUGACCAGAACCCGUGUUAUACCACAGUUUGGCUUCAUCAUAAUCCUGAAAGCACGGCAAAAAUUCUAGGUAUCAGGAGAGUCUCCAAAACCAUGGCCUGAUCCUCAAUGGAAAGAUUCCUGGGAGUGAGUUUAUUUUCUCUUUCUCUCUCUCUCUCUUUUUUUUUUUUUUUUGCCUUUUACAGCCAC
rnacentral:lncRNA from 1 species